rnacentral:rRNA from 1 species
CUAUGUGUUGUUGGGUAGGGGAGCGUUCUGUAAGCCUGUGAAGGUGUACUGUGAGGUAUGCUGGAGGUAUCAGAAGUGCGAAUGCUGACAUAAGUAACGAUAAAGCGGGUGAAAAGCCCGCUCGCCGGAAGACCAAGGGUUCCUGUCCAACGUUAAUCGGGGCAGGGUGAGUCGACCCCUAAGGCGAGGCCGAAAGGCGUAGUCGAUGGGAAACAGGUUAAUAUUCCUGUACUUGGUGUUACUGCGAAGGGGGGACGGAGAAGGCUAUGUUGGCCGGGCGACGGUUGUCCCGGUUUAAGCGUGUAGGCUGGUUUUCCAGGCAAAUCCGGAAAAUCAAGGCUGAGGCGUGAUGACGAGGCACUACGGUGCUGAAGCAACAAAUGCCCUGCUUCCAGGAAAAGCCUCUAAGCAUCAGGUAACAUCAAAUCGUACCCCAAACCGACACAGGUGGUCAGGUAGAGAAUACCAAGGCGCUUGAGAGAACUCGGGUGAAGGAACUAGGCAAAAUGGUGCCGUAACUUCGGGAGAAGGCACGCUGAUAUGUAGGUGAAGUCCCUCGCGG